UACGAAGGGGGCAAGCGUUGUUCGGAAUUACUGGGCGUAAAGAGUACGUAGGCGGUUUAUCUAGUUAGGUGUGAAAUCCCAGAGCUCAACUUUGGAACUGCACUUAAUACUGAUAAACUAGAAUGUAAGAGAGGGAAGUGGAAUUUCUAGUGUAGGAGUGAAAUCCGUAGAUAUUAGAAGGAACACCAGAGGCGAAGGCGACUUCCUGGCUUAUAAUUGACGCUGAGGUACGAAAGCGUGGGUAGCAAACAGG
rnacentral:rRNA from 1 species